rnacentral:rRNA from 1 species
AUUGAACGCUGGCGGCAGGCCUAACACAUGCAAGUCGAGCGAAUGAAGGGAGCUUGCUCCUGGAUUCAGCGGCGGACGGGUGAGUAAUGCCUGGGAAUCUGCCUGGUAGUGGGGGAUAACGUCCGGAAACGGGCGCUAAUACCGCAUACGUCCUGAGGGAGAAAGUGGGGGAUCUUCGGACCUCACGCUAUCAGAUGAGCCUAGGUCGGAUUAGCUAGUUGGUGGGGUAAAGGCCUACCAAGGCGACGAUCCGUAACUGGUCUGAGAGGAUGAUCAGUCACACUGGAACUGAGACACGGUCCAGACUCCUACGGGAGGCAGCAGUGGGGAAUAUUGGACAAUGGGCGAAAGCCUGAUCCAGCCAUGCCGCGUGUGUGAAGAAGGUCUUCGGAUUGUAAAGCACUUUAAGUUGGGAGGAAGGGCAGUAAGUUAAUACCUUGCUGUUUUGACGUUACCAACAGAAUAAGCACCGGCUAACUUCGUG